rnacentral:rRNA from 1 species
CAAUAGCGUAUAUUAAAGCUGUUGCGGUUAAAAAGCUCGUAGUUGGAUUUCUGUCAAGGACAACUGGUCCGCCCUCCGGGUGAGCACAUAGUUUGGUCUUGGCAUCUUGCUGGAAACUGUUGCUGCGCUUGGUUGUGUGGUGCAGCUUUCAGCACUUUCACUUUGAGGAAAUUGGAGUGUUUCAAGCAGGCACAUGCCUUUGGACACAGUAGCAUGGAAUAAUUAGAUUGGGCUUUUGCUCCAACUUGUUGGUUCCUGGAGCUGAGGUGAGAAUCAAUGGGGAUUGUUGGGGGAAUCCGAAUUUAGCCGUCAGAGGUGAAAUUCUUGGAUCUGCUAAAGACGGACAACUGCGAAAGCGUUUGCCCAGGAUGUUUUCAUUGA